AAAAACACGUACAAUCUGAUCUAAACUAUCUUUGACUCAUUAACCAUUCACAUCAGCGCGUGUCAUACACUUUCAUUAAGUUGCGACUGGAGUUAUCUCUUGUCAAAUUCAAGAACGUCUAAGGGUAGUUUGGACAUGGCAAACACCACCACCUCCGUCUUCUCCCAAAUCAAACCCUAGCGUUGCUUUUUUGGCUCUUUUUUCAUAUCAAGAUUGAGAAUUUCUAUACAUAAAUUUUUGGGGUUUGUGAAUUAUCCUUCAAAGCCUUUGCUGAAACAAGGGUCAUUAAUGGACUUGGGAGAUUGUGAUUUUGUUAUCUGAAGUAGUAUCUUGUGUAUGAAAGAUUUAAUCGUUGUGGUUAUAUGUGGGGGGUCUAUCGGAAACAGCCCCUCUAUGUCCCAAGAUUUAUGGAUCAUGUGAGUAGUGAUAAUCAAUUGGAUAUUCCUGAUACCCCUAAUAGAUUAGCUGCUAAGGAUCUGAAUGGGAGGAGGUAUGCCAAUGUAGAGAGUGAUUUGUCUGCAUCAGGGAAUUCAGGAUAUGGGAAUGUUUCUGCUGAGAAUGGGAAUCAACCUAAUGUCAAUGGUGUUGGAAGAAAAAGAUUGUUUAUGCGUCCUCCAAGAAGAAUCCCUAGUUCCAUGAAAACUGAAUGCCAUGCUAAUUCAUCAGCUUCUAGUAUGGGAGAUACUUUACCUUUAAGAAAUGGUGUUCCAUUCAAGGAUUCCUCCACUCCUAAUUCCAAGGAGAAACAUAACUUGCAUCUUGCUAAAAGUGGAAUCACAGAAUCAAAAAGUCAGCUAGACCGUUCUGUCAUAGACCUGACAAAGCAAAGUGGGUCGUCAACUUGUGUAUUUGUUAAGGCUCCUACAUUUGGAGUACAGGAUAUUGCUGGAGAUGAAAAAUUUAGAUUGCGAUCAGCAGGGAUGAAUGAACACUCUCAUUUGCACAGGAUAACUUCCACACCAUCCAGCAGUACCAGCAAAGGAAAGGAAACUGCUGAUUUAGUUAAACUUGGUUUAAGUAAAUCUCAUGGAGAAAAGGAUUCUGCUAUUGAUGCACAGGUUGGAGCUCGGAAGGAGGGUUCUGCAUCUCUUGCUAACUCACCAAGAGUAAUUGGGCAGAAAAGAUUGGUCCGAAAUGGAUGUAUAUCCCCUAUGAACAUAGCUAAGGCCAAAAAGCCAGCUGGGAUGGAGAACCACAGUAUUUUAAUCCAUGGUCUAACUGAUACCAGUCUUGCAGCAUCAUCCGCUGGUACUAGCUCAGAUAGUGCUAAAGAAAUGAUAUCUAAAGAUGGUAUCUCUUCAGUAAAGGGUAAGGGGGUGGUAAUCCAUUCUUCUCCUUCAAAAGAACGUGGCCCUACACAUACAUCUAGCAGUGAUUCCAGUAGAGAUGUGUUCAGAAGCUUUGAUGAAUCCGGUGGAUGGAAAAGUACACGCAACCGCAGUUCGAACAUGAACUUUCCAUUGCCCAAUUUGCACAGGACUUCAGAAAGAGAUAGUGCACACUUUGUCUCUCAUCCCAGUGGGAGUAGGGUGAUGAGAAGAGAUGAUGCAACUAGUUGUCAAGAUUCGGCUUCUAAUAAUCAAGAUUCAGCUUCUAUUAGACAUCUUUAUGGUGUAUCUGCAGGGACGAAGGGAUCCCCUCUUGGAACUCAAUGUCGCCAAAUUAAUGGACAUCGUACUGCACAGAGCACAGUUAAGAAAAGACCAAAGCAGGGACCUGCCUCAGGAAGCCAUUGUAAAUGUUCUACAUCGGUCUCUGAUGAUGUAGACAUCAUUUGCCUUGCCUCACCUGAAAGUAGGGUUAAUACAAGGUCCACCAGAAACCCAAGUCAUGUAGGUACAGCCGUAGAACCAGUGAUUGUAGCAGAUAGUCCCUCCUCUACCACAAGAUAUGAAGGCUCUCGUGUUGUAUGUGGAAGUAGUAGGAAUGAAGAUGCUAGAGCCAGUCAAGUAGAUGCUGAUGAAAGGCUCGCACGGGAACUCCAAGAACAGUUGUACAAUGAGGUCCCUUCCUUCGGCGUUGGUGAGAUUGAUGAAGAUGUAGCCUUGGCUUUAGUGCAGGAGGAUUUCCUACAUGCUUCCUCUGGAUCAGAGAACCAACUACCUGGUCUUAAUGGAUCAUCGGUAUCAAACUUACGCAGAAGGCAACCAAGAAUUGCUUCCAACAUAUCUCGUAGAGCUUCUCAAGCUCGGGCGUCUACCUCGAAUAGGAUGACUAGGUUGAGGAACAGUUUCCCUGGACAACCUCGUACUAUCUCAUCAGCUAGAGGAAGAAAUUCACUGUUUCCUCCUAACAUGGAUGUGGACAUGAGGAUGCAUAUAUUGGAAACAUUAGAAGCUUUCAGUAAUAUGGAUGUUGACAGUAACCUCCUUCAGACGCAGCGCGACUUCAAUGAGAAUGACUAUGAAAUGCUAUUGGCCCUUGAUGAGAACAACCACCAACAUGGUGGUUCAUCUGCACGACAAAUCAACAACCUGCCACAGUCAACAGUUCAGAAUGAGAGUCUUCAAGAACCGUGUGCUGUUUGUCUCGAAACUCCUACCAUGGGGGACGUUAUCCGCCAUCUCCCUUGUUUACACAAGUUUCACAAAGACUGCAUUGAUCCAUGGCUGAGCAGAAAAUCAUCAUGCCCAGUUUGCAAAUGUUUGAUAUCUUAACCUGCUUUAGAGAUGAUAGGUGGGAUUCAUGCGAGUUGCAGCUUAGAUUUUGAUACAAAUCUUGUACUUUAUGUUCAAGGUUUUCCAAUAGUUGGAUGAAUUUGUCAACUAUGGAUGGCACUUUAACCAUUCAACCAUGGAUGCUUAGCAAUAAAUGGUAAUACCAUUUCGUUAGAUAGGAACAGAUUUGACAGAUACCGUUUAACACGAGGGAAUGAGGACAAAAAGACCCAAUAGAUAAUGAAACUGUUAGUUCUAUGUACUGGGUAUAUUGACUCCAAGCUUCUCAUAUAAAGGGAUCAAACUUUUUUGCAUAAAUCAACAAAGGAAAAGUUAGCCUAGCACUACCCUGUGAUGAACAACUUAGAGCGGAGCUUGAAGAGCGAAACGAGCUGUGCUAGUAUAAUAAUGGCUUGAGUUCACUUUGAUGGUUUUUUGUUAGGUUGCCCGAAGUCUAUAUAAAUUUGAUCCGAAUAAAAAAUAAUUAAAAAGUAGUUCCAUUAUUGAAGUA